GUGCUUGCUUUGGCAGCACACAUACUAAAAUUGGAAUGAUACAGAGAAGAUUAGCAUGCCCCUGGCACAAGGAUGACAUAUUUUUGCAACAGCAAUACUUAU